rnacentral:rRNA from 1 species
GACGAACCGUCCAAACGUUGUUCGGAAUAACUGGGCUUAAAGGGCGCGUAGGCGGGGCAGCAAGUCAGGGGUGAAAUCCCACGGCUCAACCGUGGAAGAGCCUGUGAUACUGCUGUUCUAGAGGGAGGUAGGGGCGUGCGGAACUUCCGGUGGAGCGGUGAAAUGCGUAGAUAUCGGAAGGAACACCGGUGGCGAAAGCGGCGCGCUGGACCUCUUCUGACGCUGAGGCGCGAAAGCUAGGGGAGCAAACGGG